rnacentral:rRNA from 1 species
UCAGGAUGAACGCUAGCUACAGGCUUAACACAUGCAAGUCGAGGGGCAGCAUUUUAGUUUGCUUGCAAACUGAAGAUGGCGACCGGCGCACGGGUGAGUAACACGUAUCCAACCUGCCGAUAACUCCGGAAUAGCCUUUCGAAAGAAAGAUUAAUACCGGAUAGUAUACGAAUAUCGCAUGGUAUUUUUAUUAAAGAAUUUCGGUUAUCGAUGGGGAUGCGUUCCAUUAGUUUGUUGGCGGGGUAACGGCCCACCAAGACUACGAUGGAUAGGGGUUCUGAGAGGAAGGUCCCCCACAUUGGAACUGAGACACGGUCCAAACUCCUACGGGAGGCAGCAGUGAGGAAUAUUGGUCAAUGGGCGAGAGCCUGAACCAGCCAAGUAGCGUGAAGGAUGAAGGCUCUAUGGGUCGUAAACUUCUUUUAUAUGGGAAUAAAGUUUUCCACGUGUGGAAUUUUGUAUGUACCAUAUGAAUAAGGAUCGGCUAACUCCGUGCCAGCAGCCGCGGUAAUACGGAGGAUCCGAGCGUUAUCCGGAUUUAUUGGGUUUAAAGGGAGCGUAGGUGGAUUGUUAAGUCAGUUGUGAAAGUUUGCGGCUCAACCGUAAAAUUGCAGUUGAAACUGGCAGUCUUGAGUACAGUAGAGGUGGGCGGAAUUCGUGGUGUAGCGGUGAAAUGCUUAGAUAUCACGAAGAAUUCCGAUUGCGAAGGCAGCUCACUAGACUGUCACUGACACUGAUGCUCGAAAGUGUGGGUAUCAAACAGGAUUAGAUACCCUGGUAGUCCACACAGUAAACGAUGAAUACUCGCUGUUUGCGAUAUACAGUAAGCGGCCAAGCGAAAGCAUUAAGUAUUCCACCUGGGGAGUACGCCGGCAACGGUGAAACUCAAAGGAAUUGACGGGGGCCCGCACAAGCGGAGGAACAUGUGGUUUAAUUCGAUGAUACGCGAGGAACCUUACCCGGGCUUAAAUUGCAACAGAAUAUAUUGGAAACAGUAUAGCCGUAAGGCUGUUGUGAAGGUGCUGCAUGGUUGUCGUCAGCUCGUGCCGUGAGGUGUCGGCUUAAGUGCCAUAACGAGCGCAACCCCUAUCUUUAGUUACUAACAGGUGAUGCUGAGGACUCUAGAGAGACUGCCGUCGUAAGAUGUGAGGAAGGUGGGGAUGACGUCAAAUCAGCACGGCCCUUACGUCCGGGGCUACACACGUGUUACAAUGGGGGGUACAGAAGGCGGCUACCUGGUGACAGGAUGCUAAUCCCAAAAACCUCUCUCAGUUCGGAUCGAAGUCUGCAACCCGACUUCGUGAAGCUGGAUUCGCUAGUAAUCGCGCAUCAGCCAUGGCGCGGUGAAUACGUUCCCGGGCCUUGUACACACCGCCCGUCAAGCCAUGAAAGCCGGGGGUACCUGAAGUACGUAACCGCAAGGAGCGUCCUAGGGUAAAACUGGUA